AAGUCGUAACAAGGUUUCCGUAGGUGAACCUGCGGAAGGAUCAUUAAAGAGUUAGGGUCCUUUGGGCCCGACCUCCCAACCCUUUGUUUACUGAACCUCUGUUGCUUCGGCGGACCCCGCCUCACGGCCGCCGGAGGACCGCCCCCAGGCGUCCUCUGGCCAGCGUCCGCCGAUAGCCACUCUCAAAACUCUUGAAUAAAUCAUGUUAUUGUCUAAGUCUAUGAUGCAAAUCAAUAAAGCAAAACUUUCAACAACGGAUCUCUUGGUUCUG
rnacentral:misc_RNA from 1 species